UUGGUAUCUUAGUGGCGGACGGGUGAGUAACGCGUGGGUAACCUGCCUUACACUGGGGGAUAACACUUAGAGAUAGGUGCUAAUACCGCAUAACAGGGAAAGAUGCAUGUCUUUUCCUUAAAAACUCCGGUGGUGUAAGAUGGACCCGCGUCUGAUUAGCUUGUUGGCGGGGUAACGGCCCACCAAGGCGACGAUCAGUAGCCGGCCUGAGAGGGUGAACGGCCACAUUGGGACUGAGACACGGCCCAAACUCCUACGGAAGGCAGCAG
rnacentral:rRNA from 1 species